UCCGGUUGAUCCUGCCGGACCCGACUGCUAUCAGAGUGGGACUAAGCCAUGCGAGUCAACGCAGCAAUGCGUGGCAUACGGCUCAGUAACACGUAGUCAACAUGCCCAGGGGACGUGGAUAACCUCGGGAAACUGAGGAUAAACCGCGAUAGGCCAAGGUUUCUGGAAUGGAUCAUGGCUGAAACCUAUAUGGCCCCUGGAUUGGACUGCGGCCGAUCAGGCUGUUGGUGAGGUAAUGGCCCACCAAACCUGUAACCGGUACGGGCUCUGAGAGGAGGAGCCCGGAGAUGGGCACUGAGACAAGGGCCCAGGCCCUAUGGGGCGCAGCAGGCGCGAAACCUCUGCAAUAGGCGAAAGCUUGACAGGGUUACUCUGAGUGAUGUCCGCUAAGGGCAUCUUUUGGCACUUCUAAAAAUAGUGUAGAAUAAGGGGUGGGCAAGUCUGGUGUCAGCCGCCGCGGUAAUACCAGCACCCCGAGUGGUCGGGACGAUUAUUGGGCCUAAAGCAUCCGUAGCCGGUUCUGCAAGUCUUCCGUUAAAUCCACCUGCUCAACAGAUGGGCUGCGGAGGAUACUACAGGGCUAGGAGGCGGGAGAGGCAAGCGGUACUCAGUGGGUAGGGGUAAAACCCUCUGAUCCACUGAAGACCACCAGUGGCGAAGGCGGCUUGCCAGAACGCGCUCGACGGUGAGGGAUGAAAGCUGGGGGAGCAAACCGGAUUAGAUACCCGGGUAGUCCCAGCUGUAAACGAUGCAGACUCGGUGAUGGGUUGGCUUCGAGCCAACCCAGUGCCGCAGGGAAGCCGUUAAGUCUGCCGCCUGGGGAGUACGGUCGCAAGACUGAAACUUAAAGGAAUUGGCGGGGGAGCACCACAAGGGGUGAAGCCUGCGGUUCAAUUGGAGUCAACGCCGGAAAUCUUACCGGGAGCGACAGCAGAGUGAAGGUCAAGCUGAAGACUUUACCAGACAAGCUGAGAGGAGGUGCAUGGCC
rnacentral:rRNA from 1 species